GGCUGGUUAGCUCAAUUGGUUAGAGCAUGGUGCUAAUAACACCAAGAUCCAGGGUUUGAUCCCUGACCAGCCA